UCAUCUUCGGGGGUAGAGCACUGUUUCGGCUAGGGGGUCAUCCCGACUUACCAACCCGAUGCAAACUACGAAUACCGAAGAAUGUUAUCACGGGAGACACACGGCGGGUGCUAACGUCCGUCGUGAAGAGGGAAACAACCCAGACCGCCAGCUAAGGUCCCAAAGUCAUGGUUAAGUGGGAAACGAUGUGGGAAGGCACAGACAGCCAGGAUGUUGGCUUAGAAGCAGCCAUCAUUUAAAGAAAGCGUAAUAGCUCACUGGUCGAGUCGGCCUGCGCGGAAGAUGUAACGGGGCUAAACCAUGCACCGAAGCUGCGGCAGCGACACUAUGUGUUGUUGGGUAGGGGAGCGUUCUGUAAGCCUGCGAAGGUGACCUGUGAGGGUUGCUGGAGGUAUCAGAAGUGCGAAUGCUGACAUAAGUAACGAUAAAGCGGGUGAAAAGCCCGCUCGCCGGAAGACCAAGGGUUCCUGUCCAACGUUAAUCGGGGCAGGGUGAGUCGACCCCUAAGGCGAGGCCGAAAGGCGUAGUCGAUGGGAAACAGGUUAAUAUUCCUGUACUUGGUGUUACUGCGAAGGGGGGACGGAGAAGGCUAUGUUAGCCGGGCGACGGUUGUCCCGGUUUAAGCAUGUAGGCUGAUUGUCCAGGCAAAUCCGGAUAAUCAAGGCUGAGGUGUGAUGACGAGGCACUACGGUGCUGAAGUAACAAAUGCCCUGCUUCCAGGAAAAGCCUCUAAGCAUCAGGUAACAUCAAAUCGUACCCCAAACCGACACAGGUGGUCAGGUAGAGAAUACCAAGGCGCUUGA
rnacentral:rRNA from 1 species